rnacentral:rRNA from 1 species
CUCUCUCGAGCAUGUGCACGUCUUGCCUUUUCGUUGAAUCCCCUUCCUUUCUCUCGCAUUUACCCACACACACCUGUGCACCCUUUGUAGGCCCUCGAAAGAGGAUCUAUGUUUUUCACAUCACACCCCCAUCGUAUGUCCAUAGAAUGUGUAUUAAAUCAUACA